UCCAGCUUCUCGUCCACUGUCACCCCUAGGUCCUUUUCCGCAGAACUGCUGCCUAGCCAUUCGGUCCCUAGUCUGUAGCUGUGCAUUGGGUUCUUCCGUCCUAAGUGCAGGACCCUGAACAAGAAAUAUAUGUUUGAUGAUGAUGUUUUAAAGAAAGUCACACCAGUGAGCUGGUGGAAGUCACUAAGGCACUUGGAUUCAGAGACUCUUGAAGUGAUGAUCUCACUUUUAACGGCAGUAGCUUCUUUAGCUGGUGUAGAAAGAAUAUUUUCUUCCUUUGGACUAAUUCAUUCCAAAUCGAGAAAUCGUUUGGGACCUGAAAAAGCAGGAAAGCUUGUUUUUCUUUUCCAGAUUAUGAACAAACAGGAAAGUGAAGGUGAAGAUGACUGAGUUAGCUGAAGAAGCCAAUAUUUUAAGUUUCUCAUGUUGACCUGGCUGACCUAGUCAAUUUAAUUUUUGUUGAUUUUUUAAAAAAUGUCAUUUAACUAUUUUAGUUAAAAUUAUUUUUAACAAAAAACCCAUAUUUUUAAAAACAUGAAUGUUUAACUAAAUUCGGAAAUUCAUAUGCUUGUUUUGUUAAAAUAUAUGUUUGCUGUUGGGGAAAAGAAAAUCCAGAAUACAUAAUGUUGUUGUUGUUUUAGUUAAAUAAAACAAUUUAAAUGUCUGUCUGGUGAUGUUCUCCUCCUAAUACAGCAUGGCAAGAAAAUCCUCCAAAUAUUAAUGAUUAACCUGUUGAAUUGGAGAUAAUUCACCUCCCAAUGACUUCAUAAAUAUCUGCUUUAAUUAUCUUUGAUAAAUGAAAUAACCAAUCAUUCAUUCAUUCAUUUCUGAUAUAGCUGUAAAACUAGUCUGAAAUUUUUUUUUCAAAAUAAAUCACUUAAAAGAUAUAUAGUGUGUACCUUCUAAAAUUGAAACCUACAUCUAUCUCUGAGUCGUGAAGAAUAUGUAUGAAGGUUAUAACCACCACCAAGAAUGCACUUUUAUGUAGAAAUCCAUGAUUAAAUCAAGUCUUCCUGACUAAUGAUUUAAAUCAAAUCCACCUGAAUGGGGUCUAUCUAAGGGUAUGGCUACACUGGCGAGUUAGAGUACAUUAAUGCAGCACCGGGCGCUCUAACUCAUGACACUUCCACACUGGCAAGGCACAUAGAGCGCCCGGACUCCGUGGCUGGAGCGCUCCUUGUAAUCCACCUCGAUGAGAAGCAUAACGCUUGAUGCGCCCUGGCUGGAGUGCCGCAGCGCCAAUGUGGACACCCUGGUCUAUUAAUGCGCUCUGAUUGGCCUCCAGACGUGUCCCACAAUGCCUGUUCUAGCCACUCUGGUCAUGACUUUGAACUCUCCUGCCCUGCCUUCAGGUGUCCAACAGUCAGACCUGCCCUUUAAAUUCUCUGGGAAUUUUGAAAAUACCCUUCCUGUUUGCUCAGCAAGGCGUGGAGUACUCUCGGCGAAUCUUUCCAGAUGAGCGUGCCUCCACACACACCAGGUGAUCCCCAGUGUGGAGCAAUGGCGAUGUGCUGGACCUCAUCCGUGUUUGCGGGGAGGAAGCUGUCCGGUCCCAUCUGUGCUCCAGCCGUAGGAAUUACGAUACCUUUGGGCAAAUAUCAAGGGAUAUGAUGGAAAGGGGCCAUGGCCAGGACGCACUGCAGUGCAGGGUUAAAGUGAAGGAGCUGCGGAAUGCCUACCACAAAGCCCACGAGGCAAACUGCCACUCCGGUGCUGUGCCCGUGACCUGCUAUUUCUACAAAGGGCUGGACGCAAUACUUGGGGGAGACCCCACCUCCACUCCGACGACCACCCUGGACACUUCAGAGCCCAGUUCAACGAGGCAGGAGGAGAAGGAAAGCGGGAGCGAGGGUGCUGAGGAGGAGGGGGACAGCCCGACAUCCCUAGAUGCAUGCAGUCAGGAGGAAGGUAGCCAGUUGUAGCGUCCGGUGCUUUGGGAAGAACAAAUGCCAGAGGAGAUGCCUGAUGCAACCUUGAGAUCUCAGCCAUCCUUGUUAUCAGCGACCAAAAGAUUCCAAAGAGUUAGGAAGCAGCCAUGUAGAAGCAAAGAGGACAUGCUGCAUGAAGUAAUGCUGCAGUCCCUUAAUGAAAAUCAAAAAAUGCAGGAGUGGCGGGAGAGUGAAAGGAGGAUCUGCCAGCAGAAUGUGAAUCGCCGGCACCAAAGCAUGGAGCGGCUGCUAAGCAUUAUGGAGCACCAAGCGGACUUGAUACAGGCGCUCGUAGCAAUGCAGGGGGAGCACUUCUGUGCCCGCCCCGCCCUGCAGCCCUUGUCGCAAAACUCUUUCCCUUAUGCUCCCAUGUCACCUCCAACCCACUUUCCCCAACAUCCGGAUUGUGAUCGCCACCAGCUGCCGCCAACACCUAUAGCUUUACCACCCAGUCCUGCAAACUACGACCUUUACCCACUGCACUCAACCCCCCAUCACCAUGCAGUAUAGCCAUCCUGAAGUGCAGCACUCAUUGCACAGCACUCCAGACAGGAAGGCUGAGUAUGAUAACAGGACAUAUGCAAAUCUGUGAUUGUACUGUUCCCCACCCCACCCCUUUGGCCUUUCUGUUUCCUAAGCAAUUGUGUAUCUUUUCAAUAAAUGAAUUUUCUUUUCAAUAAA